UAUUGAUAACCAGUACGGGCGUCGAGGUAACUCUGCGCCCGUGCACGCAUGUUGAGGGUAGCAAAAGCAUG
rfam:Dendroctonus ponderosae Seq01001872, whole genome shotgun sequence.